AAUCUUUAGAUAACAUAAAUGCCAUUAACUCAUCGUUAAUUAUUAUUUUAAUUCAUGUCAUCCAGUUACGAUACUUAACCCUUUUGACGAGAUAAUUAGUUCACAACGUGUACUUAGAUUUUAUCGUUCUGUCAGAAGCUCAGGAAGAAUUUCAAGAAAAAGGAAAUCACAAGUUUUUUUCUCGUUCCCCUCUGAAAUAGUAAAACCCUAAAAAGAAAAAACCAGUUUGAACGGCAGCAUCUGAGUAAACUCCUUCGGGAUUUGCCGGGGGCUAAAUCGGAAACGUGAGAUGGGGAUUAGGACAUGGAUUUGUAAGGAUCUAAUUUUAAUUUGUUUGUAGUGGCGUUUUUGUACCAAUCUUUCUAUUUUUUGUGUGAGAUAAGAAAGCUUUUUGCUUUCAUUCUAUCUCGGGGUUACAGGGUACUAGGAAAGGAUUUUAAGCUUGUAAGGUCCGCCCAAAAAUCUUUGCUUUCUUUUUUGGUCCGCCCAAAAAUUGUUUUCUUAUUUUGUUUUCAAAACUCUUCUUAGUUAUAAGAAGUGAUCUUCGUUUUCAAUGAAAACUGGUUUUCUAAAACUUCUGUAUUUUAAAAAACUCAUCUUUAAUCUUCUCAAAGUUGUUGGCUUCAUUUUUCAAAAAUUUUGUUUUUCAAAUCUUCUUUAUUUUCUUCCUUUGUUUUUCAAAUCGGUUUUUCUCCAAGUAUUUUAACAAAAGAUAAUUUUUCCUUCUUUACCCUGUAGCGUCUUUCCGUUCUUGUGUUUGGUUUGUUUCUAAUCUUAUGUUGACCUCUCAACCCCCUGAAAGAAAGAUCUGUUUUACCUUGUGAUUGUCGACGCCUGUAAUGCUGCUUAUUUCAGUUUUGGGAGCUUAAUUUUAUGUUAAAUAGGUGUUCUAAAAUCUCUUAAGUGAAAUCCAUGUUUUGAUCUUUUUGUAAUGUUUAUUUCCCUAAUCGCGUCUCCAAAGUGAAGCCCCCAGCAGGAAAAAUGAAACCCCUUCUAUACUUGCUUGAAACAAAUCUUGCUCUUGUUCUUAACCUUUCACUGUCCUGGUCUUACGACCUUCGUUUCUGCGACUUGAAAAAGUCACAGGUUGGCCGAUUCUCUGCUGAGAAAAUUGGCUUGAUCUCUCUUUGCUUAAUUUCUCUAUCAAGGAGACCUCUUCGGAGGGCACGGGAUCAAUCAGGGUGUAUCAUUUUCUCUUCGGAAUAUGUUGUUCUCACUAUUUUGAUAGAUUUAUCACUUGGGUUGGAUCUUGCGGUGGAUGAAGUAAAAGGAAGCACAAUAGGAGGCGAAAAAACCUCUUGUCGGGCGAUUGAUGUUAUUUAUCUUUUAAUCAAUGUAAUCUUCGGUUUUAGUUUCUGUAAGAAAUCUUGUUCUCGAUUUGCAAUCGAGUAUUUUGAUCUUCUUGGUAUCCGGUAUUCCAAUGUUUGUAUCCCUUUUAGUCAAAGGCAAAUGUAUCCAAGUAACUGUUGGUUUAAUUAAUAUAUUACUUAGGACUUUCCAAGAAAAGAAAAAAAAAA